GCUUUUCCUUAGAACCACUGCAGGGGUGAAAGACAGAACAUAGAAUUGUCACAUCGUUUCACAGAAGAGCCAUCUCCUAGUUAUCUUUUUGGUUACCUUUAAUAACCAAACAACCAAACCAAGAAUUUGGCAGAUAUUUUCACUAACUCUGAUUUCCUGGGGCCUGACUGGCUAAUGUAUGCAUUGACUCAUGAAAUAAAACAGAGCUUUUCAUCAGAAAGAAGAAGGGGCCAGGUGUGCUAGCUCAUUCCGGUAAUCCCAGCAUUUUGGGAGGCUAAGGCAGGAGGAUCACUUGAGACCAGGAGUUCAAGACCAGCCUGGGCAAAAUGGCAAGACCUCCUCUCUAAAAAGAUAUUUUUUAGAAAAUUAGCCAGAUAUGGGGGUUUAUGUUUGUAGUCUCAGCUACUCAGGAGGCUGAGGUGGGAGGAUCAUUUGAGCUCAGGAGUUUAAGGCUGCAGUGAACUAUGAUUACCCCCUCUGCACUCCAGCCUGGGUGACAAAGUGAGACCACAUUUCUAAGAAAAAAAGAAAAAAAGAAUUGAAGUUAAAAAUUUUAAAUCUUGAAGAAAGGAAAACACUAUAUUCUUCCUCCUGAUUUUUGACUCUUAACUAAAACUAAUCAUCAUCUCCCCACUUUUACUGUACGGAGGACUCUCCAAAUGGGUUAUAAUAUUGCCCUUUGCCCUAUCUUCCCUCUUUUCUACCCCUGUUACUUUCUGUGUCCAGCUUGGGACUGUCAAUUACAGAAAACAAGGGAAUACUGACACAUUAAAUCUUGAACACACCUCCCCCUUAGUAAAGCCCUUCUAUAAGGUAAUACUUGCUAGAAGAAAUAGAUCCCGAAAUGAGGAUGCCUCGAAAUCAACCAAGGCUUAUUUUUCACUCAAGCAGUAAUAGAAAACAAAUGAUGAAGUCUCACUCUCGCCCAGGCUGAAGUGCAGUAGCACCACCUUGGCUCACUGUAACCUCCACCCCCUGGAUUCAAGUGAUUCUUCUGCCUCAGUCUCCUGACUAGCUGGGACUACAAGCAUGUGCCGCCACACCUGGCUCAUUUUUGUAAUUUUAGUAGAGAUAGGGUUUCACUAUGUUGGCUAGGUUGGUCUUGAACUCCUGACCUCAAGUGAUCCACCUACUUUGGCCUCCCAAAGUGCUGG
rnacentral:lncRNA from 1 species